UUACAUCUAAAAAGUCAGUGUACAUAUCUUAAUUAAAAAUACUUUAGUGCUAGAAAUGCUAACAAUCACCUGAACCUUCAGCAAGGUGUGAUCUUUUUGCUGGUGGAGGGUCUCGACUCAAUGUUUAUGGCUGCUUACUGAUCACAGUGGUGGCUGCUGAAGGUUGGGGCAGCUGUGGCAAUUUCUGAAAAUAAGACAACAAUAAAGUUUGCCACGUCAAUUAACUCUCCUUCUCAUGAAAGAUCCCUUGUAGUAUGCAAUACCGUUUGAUAGAAUUUGCUUUGCAAAACAAAAAUGUGUUGAAUUUAU